AAAAAAAUAAAAAAAAAAUCCGGAUUUUUUUCGUUUUUUUCCGGAAGCGGUUUUUGUUUAGUAUAGCCUUUGAAUGGCAUCUUUUAAACGUUUGAUUUCAAAUAAAAUUUUAAUACAGUAAGCAUUUGUGUGAUACAGAUUGAAGUCAAACAACGCCUCGCAUGGCUUCUGCUAUGGCCAUCAGUCAAAGUGUGUUAUCAAUAACAAUCGAUGAGUGUCCACACAGGAAAGAGAAAAAAAGUAUAAUAGCCCCAUUUUCUAAUUCUACCACCUUUAUUGAUAUAUUCAAUCAGUAUCAUGACUUUGGAUUAAAGAACAAUGAAUUUACUGUGUCAGACUGGAAAAAACCAUGAGAUAUCUCCCACAUUGACAGUUGGGGAAGUUGUGCAGCUUUUUAAUGUGAGGGACUUUAAAUUCAAGUGUGUUGUUCACAAAAUACACAAAAAACAACCGAAGCAGGCCAGUAAAAAAAAA
rnacentral:lncRNA from 1 species